UGAAAAAGAACAACGUGCUUAUCCUCAGGAAAGAGUUAAGGAUUUGCAUAAUUCCAUGCUGUUUGUUGUGGUGCCUGCUUAUAAAACGGAAACAACCAAAUUGUCUAACAGUAGGAGCCUGGAACCCUCAACACUAUUAAAAUGAUGCUGUAGAGAUUUAUCUUUGUAGAAAAAUGGGGAAAGGUAACCAUAUAUUAAAGGAAAAUAAAUGUUUGUUUUUCAAUGAGUUAUGUUAAUUUUUGUAAGAAAAAAUCGUGUCCAGACAUAAACAUGUAUGUAUAUUUGGAAAAGCAUCUAUAUAUUGGGUUAUGGGUGUUUAUAGGUGUUUGUUUUUUUUUUCGGGCUUACCUAUCUUCUGAUGGUUCUGUUUUCAACAUGUGUUGUGUUUGUGAUAAAACAAUAAAGCAAAAUACCACUUUGAGAGAAAAGACAUCAUCAUCAGGCCCGAGAAUCCCUCCCGUGCACUCAGCCUCCCCAGAGCGAAUCUUUCAACCAGAGGCUGCAGCUCUAAAAAUUCUGUGAACUGGGAAGGAUGGGAGCCUCCUCAUGGGAAUUAACCUCCAAAACAACAAGAGUGGGACAGCACGUGAGCAAGAUCUUCCCACACAGACCUCAGGGUCCCGGCGUCCUCAUGAAUCACUACAGUCAUUUUCCCUCCUCGGAAAGCAAAAGCAAAAGUCAGAAACAGGAAGGCAGGUUUUCUGUGAAAAGCCAGUUAUAUUGAAAAAAAUAACUACUUUUGCCUUGUUUCUUCUGGAGUUAAAAACAGAGGGGAUGAGAAAACAUCAAAGAAACCCAAAUUGAGGAACUCUACAAAAUUCCUAAGCAGCACUCCUCAGGAGUGUCCAGGAGGACUGGGACACUGUCACGGCCUGGAGGGGAUGGGGCGCUGGGGCGACAAGAUCACUAAUGCCUGGACUGCAUCCUGGGACAGGAAAAGGGCAUGAGUGGGAAAACGUGGAAAACAGAACUCAUCCCAACAGUGUGGUUGACGACACACUGUUAACUGGCACAGUGAACACCGUAUGAGUGUUGGUUGGCUCCUCGCUUUCUCAGUGUGUGGGUGGCGCAGGGGCACGGGUGUAAAAGGCAGGGAGACCGAGCACCAGCGGGCGGCUGAAUGAUGGUUUAAACCUAGAACCUCCAUCCGGAACAUCCCCACCUUGUCCUCCUCACAAGACCACAGGGAGGGCUGGAUAAGGUCAGGUACACGACAGCGCUCUGGAAGCGACCUUGUGCCUCACAAAGAUGCGUGGUCACCACCUUUCACAAGUACGUCACUGAAGAAAACAUUUAAGUUACAAGACUAUGAUCCCUACACUAAAUACAAGGUGACCCAAGUGAAAAGGACGAAUCCUAGAAGCAUACAAAUUACCAAAACUAACUCAAGAGAAAAUAGAGACUCUGAAGAGACCUGUAACGAGAGACUAAGUCAAAAAUCAAGCCCUCCCAACAGAUGGGGAUCAAGACAGCAGAGUAUGAGGACGUGGAGCUCACCUCCCCCCACAAACACACCAAAAACACAUCUACACGAGCAACAACUCCCAGAGAAAACUAACUGGAAACUCACAGAAGAUCCCCCAUAACCAAAGCUGCAAGAAAGACCUCCACGUAAUCGGGUAGGAUGGAAAAAAGAAAGGUACCAGGUUGAGACCGGCACUCCUGGGAGGGAUCUGUCAGGAAGAGAAGGUGUCCGCUUGCCCUAGGGAGUCCCCUUCCCGCUGGGAAGCCCACUGAGACAGACAGGAGGGCUGAAGAAGCCUAGACUCUACUCAGGAGGAGCACGCGGGCUGGCUUGCUAACAACCAGGACAGAGAGACCUGCACUGGUGGCGGCCGCCUCCCCGCACUUCCCAAUUCAAAGGGGUGAAUGCCCUGGCCCCGCUCACUCCACACCACGGCCUGGCAUGAGAUCAGUGCAGAGACUGGGUCUAGCUGCGCAGAGGCAGAUGGGGUGGCUGGGAUGUGAUCCAGAUGGGACUGUGAAGACUCCCGUCACUGCACACACAAGGGCCACGGUGCACGCUGGGAAGACAGUCCCAGCGCAUGCCGCACGUGGCGCCUCAACAACGUGCAGCAGCUAAGCAGUGAAUUUUAUGUAGAACCUACAACAUGCUGCCCCAAGAGACUCGCUUCAUGGCGAAAGACACACACAGACUGAAAGUGUAAGUAUGGAAAAAGAUAUUUCAUGCAAAUGGAAACAUCAAGCAAGCGGGCAUAGCAAUACUUAACAAAAGACAAAGUAGACUUCAAAACAAAGACCAUAAAGAAAGACAAAGAAGGAUAUUACAUAACAAUAAAGGCAUCAAUACAACAGCGUAUUACACUUGUUAACAUACACGCUUCCAAUACAGGAGCACCUAAAUAUAUAAAGCAAAUAUUAACAGACGUAAAAGGAGAAAUUCACAGGAAUACAAUAAUAAUAGAGGACUAUAACAUCCCACCUACAUCAAUGAACGGAUCAUCCAGACAGAAAAUCAGUAACGCGACAGAGGUCCUAAAUGACACAAUGGACCAACUGUACUUAACAGAUAUCUACAGGACACUAAAUAAGAAAAACACCAAAUACACAUUCUUUUCAAGCCAGCGUGGAACAGUCUCACGGAUAGACAUAUACUAGGUCACAAAACAAGCCUCAACAAGUUUAAGAGGACAGAAAUAUUUUCAAGCAUCUUUUCUCACCACAAGGGUAAGAAACUAGAAAUCAACCACAGAAAGGAAAACAGGAAAAGAACAAACACAUGGAGACUAAACAACAUGCUACUAAAAAGCAAAUGGGUUGAUGAUGAAAUCAAAGAGGAGAUCAGAAAUAUCUUGAGACAAAGGAAAAUAGAAACACGAUCUUACAAAAUCUAUAAAUCUUACAAAAUCUAACUGCAGCAAAAGCAGUUCUAGGAGGGAAGCGCACAGCAAUACAGGCCUUCCACAAAAACAAGAAAAAUCUCAGACAAGAUAACCUACCACCUAAAAGAAUGAGAAAAAGAAGGACAAACAAAACCCAAAGUCAGCAGAAGGAAGGAAAUAAUAAAGAUCAGAGAGGAAAUAAAAGACAUCAAAAAAGCAACAGAAGAGAUCAAUAAAACCAAGAGCUGAUUUUGUUUCUGUUUUUAAGAUAAACCAAACUGAUAAACCUCUAGCGAGGCUCACCAAGAAAAGAGGACCCAAAUAAACAAAAUAAGAAAUAAAAGAGGAGAAACAACUGAAACCACAGAAAAACAAAAAAUCAUGAAAGAAUACAAACAGUUAUAUGCCAACAAACUGGACAACCUAGAACAAGUGAACAAGUUUCUAGAAACAUACAGCCUGCCAAAACUGAGUCAAGAAGAAACAGACAAUUUGAACAGACCGUUCACUAGAAGUGAAAUACAAUCUAUAAUUUAAAAAACUCCCUGCAAACAAAAGUCCAGGGCCAGAGAGCUUCACUAGGAAAUUCUACCAAACAUACAAAAAGACAAAAACAAAAACUUAAAUCUAUCCUUCUCAAACUAUUCCAAAAAAAUGAAGAGGAGGGCACAGUCUGAAAUUCAUACUAUGAAACCACCAUUACCCUGAUACCAAAACCAGACAAAGACACUACAAGAAAAGAAAAUUACAACCCCAAAUCUUUGAUGACUAUAGAUGCAAAAAUCCUCAACAAAGUAUUAGCAAACUGAAUCCAACGAUACAUACUAAGGAUACCACACUCAAGUUGGAUUCACUCCAGGGUUGCAAGGAUGGUUCAAAAUAUGUAAAUCAAUCAAUGUGAUACACCACAUUAACAAAAUAGAUAAAAAUCACAUGAUCAUCUCAAUAAAUGCAGAAAAGGCAUUUGACAAAAUUCAACAACGAUUCAUGAUAAAAACUCUCACCAAAGUGGGUACAGAGGGGACACAACUCAACAUGACAAAAGCCGACUAUGUCAAAUCCACAGCCAACAUAAUACAGUGAAAAACUGAAAGCUUUCCCAAUAAAUUCAGGAAGUAGACAGGGAUGUCCACCCUCGCUGCUUCUAUUUAACAUAAUAUUGGAAGUCCUAGCUACAGCAAUCAGACAAGAAAAAGAAAUAAAAGGCAUCCAAAUUGGAAGGGAAAAGGUAAAACUAUCACUAUUUGCAGAUGACAUGAUAUUCUAUGUAGAGAACCCUAAAGUUUCCACAUAAAAACUAUUAGACCUAAUGAAUUCAGCAAGGCAGCAGGACGUAAGAUUAAUAUACGGAAAUUUACUGUGUUUCUAUACACUAACAAUGAAAUAUCAGACAGAGAAAGUAAAAAAAAGCAAUCCUGGGGCUUCCCUGGUGGCGCAGCGGUUGAGAAUCUGCCUGCCGAUGCAGGGGACACGGGUUCGUGCCCCGGUCCGGGAGGAUCCCGCAUGCCGCGGAGCGGCUAGGCCCGUGAGCCAUGGCCGCUGAGCCUGCGCGUCCGGAGCCUGUGCUUCACAACAGGAGAAGCCACAACAGUGAGAGGCCCGCGUACCGCCAAAAAAAAAAAAAAAAAAAAAAAAAAAGCAAUCCUGUUUAAAAUUGCAUCCCCCCCCAACAAAAAACACAAAACACGAAACCUAACAAUAAACUUAACCAAGGAAGUAAAAAGAUCUAUAUGCUAAAAACCAUAAAACACUGAUUAAGGGAACUGAAGAUGAUUCAAAGAAAUGGAAAGAUAUCCCAUGCUCUUGGAUUAGAAGAAUUAAUAUUGUUAACAUGAACAUACUACCCAAAGCAACCUAGAGAUUUACUGCAAUCCCUAUCAAAAUACCCAUGACAUUUUUCACAGAACUAGAAUAAAUAAUCCUAAAACUUAUAUGGAACCACAAAAGACCCAGAACUGCCAAAGCAACCCUGAGGAAAAAGAACAAAGCUGGAGGCAUAACCUUUCCAAACUUUAUACUGUACUACAAAGCUAUAGUAAACAAAAGAGUGUGGUGUUGGCAUAAAAACAGACAUAUAGAUCAAAGGAACAGAAUAAAGAGCCCAGGAAUAAACCCACACACUUAUGGUCAGCUAAUCUAUGACAAAGGAGGCAAGAAUAUACAAUGGAGAAAAGACAGUUUCUUCAACAAGUGUUGCUGAGAUAACUGGACAGCUACAUGUAAAACAAUGAGAUUAGAACAUUACCUCACACCACAUACAAGAAUUCAAAAUGGCUUAAAGACCUAAAUGUAAGAUCUGAAACUAUAAAACUCCUAGAAGAGAACAUAGGCAGGACACUCUGACAUAAACUGUAGCAAUAUUUUCUUGGAUCAGUCUUCUGAGGCAAAAUAAAUAAAAGCAAAAAUAAACAAAUGGGACCUAAUUAAACUUAAAAGGCUUUACACAACAAAGGAAACCAUUAACAAAAUGAAAAGACAACCUACAGAAUGGGAGAAAAUAUUUGCAAAGCAUAUAUCUGAAAGGCGUCUAGUAACCGAAAUAUAUAAAGAACUCUUACAACUCAGUAACAAAAAGACAGAGAACCCAAUUUUAAAUGGGCAAAGGACCUGAAUAGACAUUUCUCUGAAGAAGAUAAACAAAUGGCCGAUACCCACAUGAAAAGACAUUAACCCAUCAUUAAUCAUCGGGAAAAUGCAGACCAAAGCCACAGUGAGUACCACUUCACACCUGUUAGGAUGACUAUAAUCCAAAAAAUGGAAAAUAACAAGUGUUCCUGAUGAUUUGGAGAAACUGGAAUCCUUGUACUUUGCUGGUGAGAAGGUAAAAUGGUGCAGCUGCUAUGUAAAACAGUUUGGCAUACAAUUACCAUAUGACCCAGCAACUCUACGUCUAGGUAUAUACCCAAAAGAACUGAAAACAAGUACCCAAAUAAAUAUAUGUACACAUAAUGUUUAUAGCAGUACUCUUCAUAACAGCCAAAAGAUGGAAAACAACCUAAACUCCCAUCAACUGAUGAAUGGAUAAGUGAAAUGUGGUCUAUCCAUACAAUGGAAUAUUAUUCACCAUAAAAAGGAAUGAAGUUCUGAUACAUGUUACAAACGUGAAUGAACCUUGAAAGCAUGCUAAGUGAAAGAAGCCAGACACAAAAGGUCAUAUAUAGUCAUCCCUCGGUUAUCUGUGGGGAUUGGUUCCAGGACCCGGCCAGAUACCAAAAUCCGCAGAUGCUGAAGUCCCUUAUACAGAAUGACAGAGUACAGUUAGCACUCCCUCUAUCCUCGGGUUCUGCAUCUGCGGAUUCAGCCAACUGCAGAUAUAAAUCUGAUUGGCAGUCGGGUGAAUCCGUGAAUGUGGAACCUGCAGAUAAGGAACGCUGACUGUAUUGUGAUUUCUUUUAUAUGGAAUAUCCCAAAUAUGUAAAUCCAUAGAGAUAGAAUGCAAAUUGGUGGCUGCCGGAUACUUGGGGAGGUGGGAAAAGGAGGAAGAAUGGGAGUGACUGUGAAAUAGGUACAGGGUCUCCUUCUGGGAUAGUAAGAGUGUUCUGGAAAUAGAGGUGGUGGAUGCACAACACUGAAAAUGCACCGAGUAUCACUGAAUUGUUUACUUCUUUAAAAAAAACUAUUUCUUUGCUUAAUAAAACUACACAAACAAAACAAAUACGUACAUGCACAGAUAUACGUGGGAACAAAGUCUGGGAGGAUGACACUGAAAUAUGAGUGUUUUUCUCUGGGUGGUGAUAUCACAGCACAAUUACUGUCCAGAUACUCACACUUUUUCAAGCCAAAUUGGAAAAGAAGAAAGAUGCCAGUCAUUUGGUCUCUAAAGAUACAAAAAGUCUCUUUCCCUAAACAGAACCUGAAGCUCAGACACAAGUAUAUGCAUCAACAGAAAUCUUCCAGGGAAAAAACCACAUUUCUACCUAUUUUUGUUUUAUCGAGACAGAGCCUUCUCUAAGGGUAUUUUAAGCAUGCGACAAAGCCUGUCUACACACAAACUCUUCGCCACGACUCCUUUUGGACAGAACCCUACUCACGGCACAGCCACCUGCCAGCAUCAUCACCCAGCUUGGAAGGUACUCCUUCCCUCAAAGAAACAAUCACAUCUCAAAGCUGCAAAAUACGAACAUCCUUUUUCUCAAGAGGUCUUAUCUUUUAGAGUGCACAUUGAAAAAUCCGAGAAUGAAGGGUGAAGCCCGACCCCGCUCUCCCGUCAACGCCUUUCAGCUGCAAUGACUCAGGCUGUGCUACUCAGCAGACCCGCAGGCUGGCUGUUCCUGCACCUCCUCAGCCGCGAACCCUGGCCCAGGACAUUCCCUCCCCUCGACCUGCGCCCGUCCCGCCUCCCAAGCACGCUUCAGGGCCCGCCCUCCAGGACGUCCCCUCUGACUGUCCCGCCCCCGGGACUGACGGGCUCCUCAGAAGCAUCUUGAGGAAAACCUGAGGUUCCUUGACUGCUGUUGUCUCCCUCCUUCGUGCCUAAUAACGUGCCCAUCAUACGGGGGGCUCAGGAACCAAUUAACUACCAGGAGACGCACUCCAUAUGGCCGGGCCGCCAGGGGCUGCAGGGGGCCUGGGGAGCCUGGAGAGGAGCGGGGGCCCCCAACCACGGUGGGCACUGCCGUAGGCCCCGCAGUGACGUGGGGAGACGAGCGGCAAUGCCGGGUCAGCCUGAGGGACGCAGAUCGUGGCGCAUCCACUCACAGCUGAAGUGCUACUUAACCUCUCUGAGUCUCCAGCUCCUCGUUCGCACACUGUCCUAAGGGAGUAAGAUGACGGGCAACCUGCAGAGCCCUUGGCACACCUCCUGCCCUAGCCAGGACGCACAGGUGUCCCCUUCAGGUCCUAAAGGCGAGCCCAGGGCUCUCUCACCUAACGCUCCUGACAACUCUGACACUCAGCCCGGGCCUCCUAUGUGUUUUUCACUGAGGAGAAGCUGCCGGUGAUGGUAAAUCUAAAUCUAAAUCUAAAUCUAAAUCAUGAAAAUGACAGAAAUCUAGAAGCAAGUGCU